rnacentral:piRNA from 1 species
UGCAGGAUGCCUUGUUUUCUUAUGCGGUA